rnacentral:rRNA from 1 species
AUUGAACGCUGGCGGCAGGCCUAACACAUGCAAGUCGAACGAGUGGCGGACGGGUGAGUAAUGUCUGGGAAACUGCCUGAUGGAGGGGGAUAACUACUGGAAACGGUAGCUAAUACCGCAUAACAUCAGAUGUUCCCAGUUGGGAUUAGCUGGGGGGUGGGGUAACGGCUCACCAAGGCGACCAUCCCUAGCUGGUCUGAGAGGAUGACGAGCCACACUGGAACUGAGACACGGUCCAGCCUCCUACGGGAGGAAGCAGUGGGGAAUAUUGCACAAGGGGCGCAAGCCUGCUGCAGCCAUGCCGCGUGUAUGAAGAAGGCCUUCGGGUUGUAAAGUACUUUCAGCGGGGAGGCGUUACCCGCAGAAGAAGCACCGGCUAACUCCGUGCCAGCCGCCGCGGUAAUAC